GAUGAAGAACGCAGCGAAAUGCGAUACGUAAUGUGAAUUGCAAAUUCAGUGAAUCAUCGAGUCUUUGAACGCACAUUGCGCCCCCUGGUAUUCCGGGGGGCAUGCCUGUCCGAGCGUCAUUACAACCCUCAAGCUCAGCUUGGUGUUGGGCCCCGCCGCCCCGGCGGGCCCUUAAGUCAGUGGCGGUGCCGUCCGGCUCCGAGCGUAGUAAUUCUUCUCGCUCUGGAGGUCCGGUCGUGUGCUCGCCAGCAACCCCCAAUUUUUUUCAGGUUGACCUCGGAUCAGGUAGGGAUACCCGCUGAACUUAAGCAUAUCAAUAAGCGGAGGA
rnacentral:misc_RNA from 1 species